rnacentral:rRNA from 1 species
UACGUAGGGUGCGAGCGUUGUCCGGAAUUAUUGGGCGUAAAGGGCUCGUAGGCGGUUUGUCGCGUCGGGAGUGAAAACGCCGGGCUUAACUCGGUGCUUGCUUUCGAUACGGGCAGACUAGAGUUCGGUAGGGGAGACUGGAAUUCCUGGUGUAGCGGUGAAAUGCGCAGAUAUCAGGAGGAACACCGGUGGCGAAGGCAGGUCACUGGGCCGCAACUGACGCUGAGGAGCGAAAGCAUGGGGAGCGAACAGG